AGUGUGACGUGGAUGCACUUCUCCGAGUUGCCGUAGAAAAGCGAAAGCCUCCUCUAUUCACGAUGUCAUACUUAAAAUUGGUGUCGCUGUGGUCCGCGGCUCCGGCCCUGAUGAGCGGCUCGGCGCUGACUUCCGGCGGGAGUAAAAAGAAGAGCCCAGAGCCGAUUCUGAGCAUCGAUGAGCUGCCGUCUCUGUACACCCGACCCG